rnacentral:rRNA from 1 species
AGAGCAUAUGGUGGAUGCCUAGGCACCAGGAGGCGAUGAAGGACGUGUUUACCUGCGAAAAGCCACGGGGAGUUGGACGAGAACGUCGAUCCGUGGAUGUCCGAAUGGGGAAACCCAACAAGCGUCAUGGCUUGUUAUCAUGUACUGAAUACAUAGGUAUAUGAGGCUAACGAGGGGAAGUGAAACAUCUCAGUACCCUCAGGAAAGUAAAUCAAAAGAGACUCCGUAAGUAGCGGCGAGCGAACGCGGACUAGACCAAACCAACCGGGUAACUGGUUGGGGUUGUAGGACCCCGAUGUGGGACUGUGAUUGUUAGUGGAACGGCGUGGGAAAGCCGGCCAAAGAGGGUGAGAGCCCCGUACACAAAAACAAAAGCAGCCUUAGGGAGUUCCUGAGUAGGGCGGGGCACGUGGAAUCCUGUCUGAAUCUGGGAGGACCAUCUUCCAAGUCUAAGUACUACCUGGUGACCGAUAGCGAACUAGUACCGUGAGGGAAAGGUGAAAAGUACCCCUGUGAGGGGAGUGAAAUAGACCUGAAACCGUAUGUUUACAAGCAGUGGGAGCACUAUGAAUCAUGUGCGACCGCGUACCUUUUGCAUAAUGAGCCAACGAGUUGUGGUCAGUGGCAAGGUUAAGCCGUUAGGCGAAGCCGAAGCGAAAGCGAGUCUGAAUAGGGCGUCAUAGUCACUGGCUGCAGACCCGAAGCCCGGCGAUCUAUCCAUGGGCAGGUUGAAGCGCGGGUAAGACUGCGUGGAGGACCGAACUCACUCAUGUUGAAAAAUGAGGAGAUGACCUGUGGAUAGGAGUGAAAGGCUAAUCAAGCCGGGGGAUAGCUGGUUCUCGCCGAAAUAUAUUGAGGUAUAGGGUCGAGUGAUUUGCGCGGGGGGUAGAGCACUGAAUGAGCUAGGGGGACCACAAUCUUACCGAACUCAAUCAAACUCCGAAUACCCGUGACAACAGCUCGGCACUCAGGCAGCGAGAGCUAAGUCCCGUUGCCAAGAGGGAAAGAACCCAGACCGUCAGCUAAGGUCCCCAAGUUAUGACUAAGUGGCAAAGGAUGUGGGAGCGCAGAGACAGCCAGGAGGUUGGCUUAGAAGCAGCCAUCUUUCAAAGAAAGCGUAACAGCUCACUGGUCGAGCGAACCCGCGCCGAAAAUUCAACGGGUCUAAGUCAUACACCGAAGCUACGGGAUGUACCUUUAUUGGUACAUCGGUAGGCGAGUAUUGUCUGGGCGGUGAAGGUGUACCGUGAGGAGCAUUGGAGCGCAGACAAGAGCUGAUGUUGGCAUGAGUAGCGAUAAACAAUGUGAAAAUCAUUGUCGCCGUAAACCCAAGGAUUCCUGGGUAAAGACAAUCUGCUCAGGGUUAGUCGGCCCCUAAGGCGAGGCUGAAAAGCGUAGCCGAUGGGAAACAGGCGAAUAUUCCUGUACCAGCACGGAUGGUUUCACGAGAAGGGACGGAGAAGGAUAGUCGAGCACACUUGAGGAUUGUGUGUUCAAGCGAGUAGGCUGAGUGUGUAGGAGGCAAUGGCCACAAACGCACGCUUAAGGCCGAGACGUGAUGAGGUGAACCCUUGUGGUUCAAAACUCGAUAAUUCCCUGCUUCCGAGAAAAGCUUCGCGUGAGUGUACCGCUGUGCUGACCGUACCGUAAACCGACACAGGUGGGUGGGGAGAAUAUCCCAAGGCGCUCGAGAGAACUCUGGUUAAGGAACUCGGCAAAUUUACACCGUAACUUCGGGAGAAGGUGUGCCCUUACUGGUGAUGAGCUUCGCGCUCUGAGCUGGUGGGGGUUGCAGUGAAUCGGGGGUAGCGACUGUUUACCAAAAACAUAGGACUCUGCUAAGUCGUAAGACGAUGUAUAGGGUCUGACGCCUGCCCGGUGCCGGAAGGUUAACAGGAGGAGUUAGAAUUUAUUCGAAGCUCCGAAUCGAAGCCCCGGUAAACGGCGGCCGUAACUAUAACGGUCCUAAGGUAGCGAAAUUCCUUGGCGGGUAAGUUCCGUCCUGCACGAAUGGCGUAACGACUUCCCCACUGUCUCGACCAGAGACUCGGCGAAAUUGAAUUCGGGGUGAAGAUGCCCCGUACCCGCGGAUAGACGGAAAGACCCCGUGAACCUUUACUGCAGCUUGGCACUGCAUUUCGGGCUUGUCUGUGUAGGAUAGGUGGGAGACUUUGAAACCGGGCCGCUAGGUUCGGUGGAGUCAACCUUGAAAUACCACCCUGAUGAGUCUGGAAUUCUAACCGUAACCCGUUAUCCGGGUUCGGGACAAUGCCUGGUGGGUAGUUUGACUGGGGCGGUCACCUCCUAAAGAGUAACGGAGGCGCACAAAGGUUCCCUCAGGCUGAUUGGAAACCAGCCGUAGAGUGUAAAGGCAUAAGGGAGCUUGACUGCGACACAUACACGUGGAGCAGAGACGAAAGUCGGUCUUAGUGAUCCGGUGGUUCCGUAUGGAAGGGCCAUCGCUCAACGGAUAAAAGGUACUCCGGGGAUAACAGGCUUAUCACUCCCAAGAGUUCACAUCGACGGAGUGGUUUGGCACCUCGAUGUCGGCUCAUCGCAUCCUGGGGCUGAAGUCGGUCCCAAGGGUUUGGCUGUUCGCCAAUUAAAGCGGUACGCGAGCUGGGUUCAGAACGUCGUGAGACAGUUCGGUCCCUAUCUUCCGUGGGCGCAGGAGACUUGAAGAGGAUCUGUCCCUAGUACGAGAGGACCGGGAUGGACGAACCCCUGGUGUUCCGGUUGUCAUGCCAAUGGCAUUGCCGGGUAGCUAUGUUCGGAAAGGAUAACCGCUGAAAGCAUCUAAGCGGGAAGCCCACCUCAAGAUGAGGUCUCCCUGAAGGGUCGUUGU